UGCUUUGCCACUGGAAUAUUUUAUCUGUCCAGUUCGUGUUGAAUUGGAAUUUUUUUCAAUGCUUAGCUCACAUGGCUUAUUCCAUUCGCCCAUAAUGUCCGUGUAUUCCUCUUCUCACUUGUGUCCAUAUCCCAGUACGUCCAAAGCAGCCUGGUGGGCCAAUGGAAGGUUGAAAGAACACGUCCUAUAAAUCUUCUGGGUGCACUUGCCGCUUUUCACCUCGAGCCGAAGGUUAACAGGUGGUAGGCUUAGAGUGUCAAUCACUUAAUCCCUCGGGCCCUGAAGGAGCUCUCAGAAUUCCGUUACGAGUUGACGCGAUAAGAUAAAGAGAUCUGCGAGGAUAACGAGACAACCAUUCUUUGGUCUUGAGGACUAUCUUUGAAGUGUUCCCUUCCAUUUACUUCCAGCUGGAGACAUUCUCUAAUAGGACUGUUGCUGUAUAUAUGUGCAGAAGCGACGUAGGAGAGACGAUGGACCAAAUCAAUAAAGCAUUGGAGGUAUUCAAAACAAAUGAAUCCUUAUCAUUGUGGACGAUUUUCGAAAGUGGUAUGCUAGCUGGUCCCCCACGUCGUUAAGAACAGUUCAUGAGAUCCAAAAACAAAUGGAGGAUGGCUUGUUUGGACACAAGUCAGUUCUUGGAAGGCUAGUCCAAACCUUUUACGCGUUAUCACAGCCACCUCCAGUAUGGAGAACGGGAUAUGCUGAUCUUCUACUUUGAAGGAUAUCUGAGCUGAUUUUUGGAAUAUAAGAGAGGAAUGUCAGCAUACAAAAAGCUUGGCAGGCAACGGAAAGAACAUAUUUUCAAGCUGGAUAAACUUGAUAAGUACGCCACCCUGAUGUUGCAUCCGAUAGCAACUUCAAGUUCGAAUGUACCCAAUGAAAAGACAUCCACAAAUUCUUGAAGUCUAGAAGGCCGCAUAUGAAGGAAUAUCGAGAGAUUCAAGCCAAUUGAAACGCUGCGGUGCCCAUCUAUCCAUUUCCAAACCUUGAUCCGGUCAACCUGUUGGAGAUCUUGCACAAAACACUGUCCAAAUACUGCCCAAAAAAUUCCGCAGUUCCGUAUACUUUUAAACUGAUGCAGAAAGCAUCGUCGCCUCCCUCGAUCGAGAUAUUAAUCCGAAUAUGAAAACCAUGCGUGGAAAGGGGCUUCUAAUAUCAAGUAGUAUACCUUAUUCAUUCAAGGCCAAGAACUAGGAUACCCGACUUAUAGUGUUACCUCGAAUCAAACGCCUAGGUUGUGGUUGCCAGGAUCUGACCAUAUUGAGCAAAGCCAGUACAUAUUUGCAUAUUCUAUGGAGGAAAAUUCGGAUAUUUUCUGGUUUUAUAUUUUGUCAGUCCAUCUGUUUACGACAACGUAUCAGAUACCGUCGCCG
rnacentral:sRNA from 2 species